AGCUCAGGGGCUGCCUUUGCUCACUAGAAGCAGGGAGCUCUCUUCUCCAUGCUAGCCUUUCCUUAAAAUAGUUAUUUUUGUUUAUCAUUUCUACUUUCGUCCCUUUGUUCAGCCCUGUAAUGACAGUCUCAAGGAGUAACAGUAGUAACUGCUGUGAUGGUCUGAAGUAGCAACCGUGGGAGUUGGCCACACAGGUUCAUCAGUUUUAUUCAUAUUAGCUAAAGUGGAAACAACCCAAUGCCCAUCAGCGGAAUAGAUACAUUCAUCAUGGUAUAUUCAUAAAAUGAUAUACUACAUGGCAAUCAAUAGAACAAACUACUGAAAUAAGCAACAAUGUGGAUGACUCUCAGAGAUAUUAAGUGAGUGAAAGAAGCCAAAUUUAAAAGAGUACAUACUGUAUGACUUCACUCAUACAUAGUUCAAAAAUAGGUAAAACUACUCGAUGAUAGAAGUUGGAAUAAUGAUUACUUAGCCAUGGAGUUAGGAUACAGACUGAGAAGCAGCAAGAGGAAACUUUUUUAGGUGAUGGGAAUUUUCUAUAUCUUGAUUUGUGUGGUGAUGACAUAAGUGAAUACACAUGCAAUAAUUCAUGAAGUUAUUAGGAUUGGUGCUUUGGGUGUAUGUGUAUUAUCCCUCUAGAAACAUUAAAAAAAAUUACUGAGGGUUCUAGUCACAAGAAACUUAUUAGGUAAGCAACGAACAGUAUUUGUGAUACCCACUCCUGGGGGGCCUGAGAACUCAGGAUCUUAGUCUUCCUAUACUAUCUACCUGCAGUGCCUGUCUCACUGACCCUAUGAAGGAGAAGGAUCUGCAGAGCACAUUCUCAGGACAUCUACCCAUGAGGCUGGUGGGACUCUUGUGAUUGCUACUUGAAUUGGAAUAAUCGGAACGGACACAUGUAAAAGGAAUGCAGAAGGACCAGACAGAUCUCUUCAAAUGUAAACCUAUGACUUAAAAUUCAGUUUCAUGAGCACUGUGGGAGACCUGAGUUUUUAACAGCUGGAGCCAAUAGUGAAGAUAGAUCUGGAAAUUUAAUUAUCCAUGAGUCCUGAGCCACCUUGUAGGAAGUCCAGUUAUCCUAAAGUCAGACUGCUGGAGAGACCAUGUGCAAACACUCCAUAGAAAUGGAGUUGUCCAAGGAGCCAGUUGUUCCAGCCCCCAGCUGAUUGAGUCUUCCUAGCCUGGCAGCAGACAUGUGAGUAAGCAAGCCUUCAGAUGAUGCCAGCCCCAGCCUCUGUCUGACUGUAACUGCAUGAGAAAAGCUGAGCAAGAACUACCUAGAUGAGCCCUGUCAACCCCCACAACCAUGAGAGAUAAUAAUAAUGACCACUGUUGUUUAAACCACUAGGUUUUAGGGUGGUUUUCUAGGCAGCAAUAGAUAAUGGGAACAGACCGCUAGUCAUCCACUUAUCGUAAAGAAGGUUAGAUGACUUAUGUUUCAUAAAACCUUGUUGUAUUAGUCUGUCUUCCCACUGCUAAUAAAGACAUACCCGAGAUUGGGUAAUUUACAAAGAGAGGUUUAAUGGGCCCACAGUUCCACAUGGCUGGGGAGGCCUCACAAUCAUGGCAGGAAGGCAAAAAUACACAUCUUACAUGGCAGCAGGCAAAUAGAGAAUGAGCGCCAAGCAAAAGGGGUUUCCCCUUAUAAAACCAUCAGAUCUCACGAGAACAGUAUGGGGGAAACCGCCCCCAUGUUUCAAAUAUCUCCCACUGGGUCCUCUCACCCCUGUACCCCCCACACAACACGUGGUAAUUAUGGGAGCUAUGAGAUGAGAUUUGGGUGGGGACGCAACCAAUCCAUAUCACUUGUAAAAAAUCCUAUUUGUUAACUAAGAUAUACACUACCACCUUAAAGCAACAACACAGAACAACCACCCUUCAGGCCUUGAUAGAGUAUAAACUCCAACAAUCUGCUCCGAACCCUAAUCAAAGGUUGAUAUGGUUUAGCUGUGACCCCACCCAAAUCCCAUCUUGAAUUGUAGUUCCCAUAAUCCCCACAGGUUGUGGGAGGGACCAGGUGGAGAUAAUUGAAUCAUAGGGGUGAUUUCCCACAUCCUGUUCUUGUGAUAGUGAGUUCUCACAAGACCUGAUGGUUUUAUAAGGGGCUUCCCCCUUCACUGGACACUCAUUCUUCUUGCUGCUGCCAUGUAAAGAAGGACAUGUUUGCUCCCCCUUCUGCCAUAAUUGUAAGUUUCCUGGGGUCUCCCCAGCCAUGCUGAACUCUGAGUCAAUUAAACCUCUUUCCUUUAUAAAUUACCCAGUCUCGGGUAUUUCUUCAUAGCAGCAUGGGAAGGGACUAAUACAAAGGUCUCAUUAAGUGAGGUGAUCUCACUGGAGAAGUGUUUGAAGGACUUGUACUCCUCUGGAUUUUCUAGAAGUAUUCUUUGAUUUAAUGACAAUUUUAGAAAGUUUCCAUCUCGAGCCAUGCUUCCUUGGUCUGUGUUAGAAUUGCCCUCAGUGAGUCGGGCUGUAGGUUAUGCUGCAGGUUUCGUGCUACAAGACAGCUUUAGGAAAGCUCCGUUGCAUUUGCUACAGGAUAUUCUUACAAAUAUCGUUGAGGACACUGUUUACCACAUCCAUCAAUGUCCCAGAUAUAAAACUCCAUACUAGAAAUUUCUUUUAGAGCUAAAUUCCAAUAAAAGCUUGAGAAACUAAGGCGGGGAGUGGUGCUCACCCCUGUAAUCCCAGCACAUCGGAAGGCCAAGGCAGGUGGAUCCCCUGAAGUCAGGAGUUCGAGACCAACCUGGCCAACAGGGGCAAAACCCCAUCUCUACUGAAAUAUGAAAAUUAGGCGUGGUGGCGAGUGCCUGUAAUCCCAGCUACUUGGGAGGCUGAGGCAGGAGGAUUGCUUGAACCCAAGAGGGAGAGGUUGCAAUGAG
rnacentral:lncRNA from 10 species